rnacentral:snRNA from 1 species
AGGGCCCCAUGGGUGUUCCUCUGGAAUAUGCACAUUCUUUGGAAGAAGAUUACCUUCCCCAAUAGAGAAAGACUGUUCUUUCAUUGAAGGUAUAGAAGGGGUUACCAGACCCUACUAGAACCUCCAAGCAAUCUCUUGAAGUCUUUUUUUUUUUUUUAGGAGAAAGUGGGUAGUUAUGGCUCCAGGCACAGACAAAUGAGAUGUUACAUCAAGCAAUCUGACUGUCUUG